rnacentral:rRNA from 1 species
UAGGGAAUCUUCGGCAAUGGGGGGAACCCUGACCGAGCAACGCCGCGUGAGUGAAGAAGGUUUUCGGAUCGUAAAGCUCUGUUGUUAAGGAAGAACGAGUGUGAGAAUGGAAAGUUCAUGCUGUGACGGUACUUAACCAGAAAGGGACGGCUAACUACGUGCCAGCAUCCGCGGUAAUACGUAGGUCCCGAGCGUUUUCCGGAUUUAUUGGGCGUAAAGCGAGCGCAGGCGGUUAGAUAAGUCUGAAGUUAAAGGCAGUGGCUCAACCAUUGUAGGCUUUGGAAACUGAUUAACUUGAGUGCAGAAGUGGAGAGUGGAAGUCCAUGUGUAGCGGUGAAAUGCGUAGAUAUAUGGAGGAACACCGGUGGCGAAAGCGGCUCUCUGGUCUGUAACUGACGCUGAGGCUCAAAAGCGUGGGGAGCGAACAGG